UUCUUAUUCCAAACAUAGGUGUCAGAGGUGAAACAACCGUGCCGACAAGGUCAACAAGUGCCACUCCUGAAACGCCUACAGAAGAUCGGACUCCAACGCCAGAUUUUACCACAAUUCACCAAGCAUUGCCCACACUACCAUCACAAGCAGACAUAGUCCACCAGAAGACCUCCCUCUUCAAACGGAUCGAGGGACGGCGCCUUCAAAAUCACGUGAUCAAAACCAAACAUGGAUUGUCAUUGGUCAAAUGCGGUGCCGAGUGUAACAAGCGAGAUGACUGCGUGUCAUUUAACAUCGGCAACGGUGUGUGUGAGCUCAACAAAC